rnacentral:tRNA from 1 species
AGAAAGGCCGGGAUAGCUCAGUUGGUAGAGCAGAGGACUGAAA